rnacentral:lncRNA from 1 species
UCUCUCUCUCUCUCUCUCUCUCUCUCUCUCUCUCAACCUUUUCCUUUUCAAGGGUGAAACAUCCAAUUUGGUUGCUAUUUAGAUAAGAAAGAAAAAAAUAUUAGGAAUUCAUGAAGGAAAAGACGGGAAUAAAAGGGAGAGGGGGGUGGGGGUGGGAAGAACUGACCAGAAGAACCCCUUCGAGGCAAGCCCUCAACCCAUGAGCCGCAUGGCUGAUAACCAACAGCAAAAGGACCAAAAUUUGUACGAAAAAAUGCCAGAAAGAAAAGGCAAGGCAUGUUAAUCCCUUGCGAAGCUGUCCUUUAUCGAUAGAAAAGAAGAAGAGCACGAGAAAGACAGAGAAAGUCCUUGGCUUUCAACCGCCAAGGACCAAAUCUUUCGAGCCGAAGCAGUAACGGCUCAGAGAGUGGAUGUCCGCGACGUUGCGGCCGCUGCCCCCACCCCUAGUGUCGAACACCCGUCCCAUGGUUAAAUUUCGU